UACGGAGGGUGCAAGCGUUAUCCGGAUUUACUGGGUUUAAAGGGUGCGUAGGUGGGUUGGUAAGUCAGUGGUGAAAUACUUUCGCUUAACGAAGGAACUGCCAUUGAUACUACCAGUCUUGAAUACAGUGGAGGUAGACGGAAUGCGUCAUGUAGCGGUGAAAUGCUUAGAUAUGACGCAGAACACCAAUUGCGAAGGCAGCUUGCUACACUGUUAUUGACACUGAGGCACGAAAGCGUGGGGAUCAAACAGG
rnacentral:rRNA from 1 species